rnacentral:rRNA from 1 species
ACGAACGCUGGCGGCGUGCUUAACACAUGCAAGUCGAGCGGUAAGGCCCUUUCGGGGGUACACGAGCGGCGAACGGGUGAGUAACACGUGGGUGACCUGCCCUCAGCUCUGGGAUAAGCCUGGGAAACCGGGUCUAAUACCGGAUAUGACUCCAUGACGCAUGUUGUGGGGUGGAAAGCCUUGUGCGGCUGAGGAUGGGCCCGCGGCCUAUCAGCUUGUUGGUGGGGUGAUGGCCUACCAAGGCGACGACGGGUAGCCGGCCUGAGAGGGCGACCGGCCACACUGGGACUGAGACACGGCCCAGACUCCUACGGGAGGCAGCAGUGGGGAAUCUUGCGCAAUGGGCGAAAGCCUGACGCAGCGACGCCGCGUGAGGGAUGACGGCCUCGGUUGGUAACU